rnacentral:SRP_RNA from 1 species
GCCAGGCAUGGUGGCUCAUGCCUGUAAUCCCAGCUACUCAGGAGGCUGAGGUGGGAGAAUCGCUUGAACCCAGGAGGUGGAGGUUGCAGUGAGCUAAGAUCAUGCCACUGCACUCCAGCCUGGGUGACAGAGCAAGACUUCGUCUCAA